rnacentral:tRNA from 1 species
GCGCGGGUAGCUCAGCCGGAAUUCAGAGCGCCCGGGACCGCCUCUAUCCUUGGGAGGUCGGGGGUUCGAGUCCUCCCCCGCGCACCA